rnacentral:RNase_P_RNA from 1 species
AAUUUCGGGUAAUUGGGCGCAACUUAUGUUGUGUCAGGAAAGUCCAUGCUCGCACAGGCUGUGAUGCCUGUAGUGUUCGUGCUCAGUGAAAAAAUAAGCUGGGGUGCCUCUUUUGAGGUAACGGCGGGAAAACGUUGCUAAGGCUUCGGCUAUGCGCUAGUAUCCCUGAAAAGUGCCACAGUGACGAAACCAGUAUGAAAACAUGCUGGGUGGAACGCGGUAAACCCCUCGAGCGGGAAACCCAAACUACGGUAGGGGAGCUUCACAUAGGUAACUGAACUGAUUGUGGGGGAAGGUCUUUGACCUUGAGAUAGAUGAUUACCACGGAGUAGAUUACGCCUGACAUCUACGAAGUACAAAACAUGGCUUACAGAA